rnacentral:lncRNA from 1 species
ACAAUAAGCAUUAAUUCUGCCUCAAAAACAGCAACAGAGAGGAGCGAAAUUCCGACCUAGCAAACCUUUACCAAAUCCAGCAAGUAAGGGCUUCGUGGAUUCCUCUCGAAGUCCUGAAUCCAACGAACCAAGUCCCGUCGAAAACCGACGCUCCUACGCCGAGUACGAACUGAAAUACCGACGGUCGACGCUGAAAAUUCUGCAAAUCAGCACCAAGCUCGAAAUGACAAUACUU